rnacentral:miRNA from 1 species
ACACAUGGGUGGCUGUGGCCU